GUGCUCUUCUCAGUAGCACAUAUAUAAAACUGGAACAAUACAGAGUAGAUUAGCAUGGCACCUGAGCAAGAAUGCCAUGCAAAUUUGUGAAAUGUUCCUAAUUAAA